AUGACCCCGCUUGCGGGGGGAUUAGUGGCGAACGGGUGAGUAACACGUGAGUAACCUGCCCUUAACUCUGGGAUAAGCCUUGGAAACGAGGUCUAAUACUGGAUAUUGACUUUACCUCGCAUGGGGUUUUGUUGAAAGAUUUAUUGGUUUUGGAUGGACUCGCGGCCUAUCAGCUUGUUGGUGAGGUAAUGGCUCACCAAGGCGACGACGGGUAGCCGGCCUGAGAGGGUGACCGGCCACACUGGGACUGAGACACGGCCCAGACUCCUACGGGAGGCAGCAGUGGGGAAUAUUGCACAAUGGGCGAAAGCCUGAUGCAGCGACGCCGCGUGAGGGAUGACGGCCUUCGGGUUGUAAACCUCUUUCAGUAGGGAACAAGGCCAGCAUUUUUGUUGGUUGAGGGUACUUGCAGAAGAAGCGCCGGCUAACUACGUGCCAGCAGCCGCGGUAAUACGUAGGGCGCAAGCGUUAUCCGGGAAUUAUUGGGCGUAAAGAGCUCGUAGGCGGUUUGUCGCGUCUGCCGUGAAAGUCCGGGGCUCAACCCCGGAUCUGCGGUGGGUACGGGCAGACUAGAGUGAUGUAGGGGAGACUGGAAUUCCUGGUGUAGCGGUGAAAUGCGCAGAUAUCAGGAGGAACACCGAUGGCGAAGGCAGGUCUCUGGGCAUUAACUGACGCUGAGGAGCGAAAGCAUGGGGAGCGAACAGGAUUAGAUACCCUGGUAGUCCAUGCCGUAAACGUUGGGCACUAGGUGUGGGGGACAUUCCACGUUUUCCGCGCCGUAGCUAACGCAUUAAGUGCCCCGCCUGGGGAGUACGGCCGCAAGGCUAAAACUCAAAGGAAUUGACGGGGGCCCGCACAAGCGGCGGAGCAUGCGGAUUAAUUCGAUGCAACGCGAAGAACCUUACCAAGGCUUGACAUGAACUGGAAAUACCUGGAAACAGGUGCCCCGCUUGCGGUCGGUUUACAGGUGGUGCAUGGUUGUCGUCAGCUCGUGUCGUGAGAUGUUGGGUUAAGUCCCGCAACGAGCGCAACCCUCGUUCUAUGUUGCCAGCACGUUAUGGUGGGGACUCAUAGGAGACUGCCGGGGUCAACUCGGAGGAAGGUGAGGACGACGUCAAAUCAUCAUGCCCCUUAUGUCUUGGGCUUCACGCAUGCUACAAUGGCCGGUACAAUGGGUUGCGAUACUGUGAGGUGGAGCUAAUCCCAAAAAGCCGGUCUCAGUUCGGAUUGGGGUCUGCAACUCGACCCCAUGAAGUCGGAGUCGCUAGUAAUCGCAGAUCAGCAACGCUGCGGUGAAUACGUUCCCGGGCCUUGUACACACCGCCCGUCAAGUCACGAAAGUUGGUAACACC
rnacentral:rRNA from 1 species